AUUGAACGCUGGCGGCAUGCUUUACACAUGCAAGUCGAACGGUAACAGGGUGCUUGCACCGCUGACGAGUGGCGAACGGGUGAGUAAUGCGUCGGAACGCACCGAGUAAUGGGGGAUAACGCAGCGAAAGCUGUGCUAAUACCGCAUACGCUCUGAGGAGGAAAGCGGGGGACCUUCGGGCCUCGCGUUAUUCGAGCGGCCGACGUCUGAUUAGCUAGUAGGUGAGGUAAGAGCUCACCUAGGCGACGAUCAGUAGCGGGUCUGAGAGGAUGAUCCGCCACACUGGGGAUGAGACACGGCCCAGACUCCUACGGGAGGCAGCAGUGGGGAAUUUUGGACAAUGGGCGCGAGCCUGAUCCAGCCAUGCCGCGUGUCUGAAGAAGGCCUUCGGGUUGUAAAGGACUUUUGUCAGGGAGGAAAUCCUUAGCGCUAAUACCGUUGAGGGAUGACAGUACCUGAAGAAUAAGCACCGGCUAACUACGUGCCAGCAGCCGCCGUAA
rnacentral:rRNA from 1 species